rnacentral:rRNA from 1 species
AUUGAACGCUGGCGGCAGGCCUAACACAUGCAAGUCGAGCGGAUGAAGGGAGCUUGCUCCUGGAUUCAGCGGCGGACGGGUGAGUAAUGCCUAGGAAUCUGCCUGGUAGUGGGGGAUAACGUCCGGAAACGGGCGCUAAUACCGCAUACGUCCUGAGGGAGAAAGUGGGGGAUCUUCGGACCUCACGCUAUCAGAUGAGCCUAGGUCGGAUUAGCUAGUUGGUGGGGUAAAGGCCUACCAAGGCGACGAUCCGUAACUGGUCUGAGAGGAUGAUCAGUCACACUGGAACUGAGACACGGUCAAGACUCCUACGGGAGGCAGCAGUGGGGAAUAUUGGACAAAGGGCGAAAGCCUGAUCCAGCCAUGCCGCGUGUGUGAAGAAGGUCUUCGGAUUGUAAAGAACUUUAAGUUGGGAGGAAGGGCAGUAAGUUAAUACCUUGCUGUUUUGACGUUACCAACAGAAUAAGCACCGGCUAACUUCGUG